GAUGGAGUCAAAACUAACUAUGCUCCCCUACCCGCCUGUACUUUCACUUUUCCGUUCACAGCCUUGCCUUCCAAUUUACGUUUCUGAGCUGAAGCUUGCAUUCUCGUUGUCGAUGGGUAUACAGUUUGGAAGCGGAGUGUUUUGGGUUAUUUUACUUGUUAUGAGCAUCAAGCUGAUGGACCAGAUCAGAAGGAAACAUGACUUUAUGGCUCUUCUCGAAUCAAACAGAUACGUUCCCGGUGCUUUCUAGCCCCCUGCUGUUUUAAUACACACAUCCUAAUUUCUAUAACCUGGCUAUCUUAUGGUUUUUCUAUGUGUUGAUGUUUAAAUGCAUGUCUAAAAGUAAUCUACUUGCACACAGUAGAUAAGAUUUAAAUGACUCUUCUGCCUUACUGCUGUAAAAAAAAAAAAGAGAGAGAAAAAAAAGUGCAAUUUAAUGACAUUAAUCAAUCUGAACUAGUUAUCACAUUUUCUUAUGUUUUUUUCUGGCUUUUUGUUCUGUACAUUAAGACUUUGGAUAUAUAUCAGUGAGGCUUUCAAAAGGCAGAUAUUAAUCUAAUAAUAAUUAAUCUGCUUCGAUGUUUUAUUGAAAGCUUGCCUCACCGAACCCAACUGUAAGUUCUGAGUUUUGACGCGAUGUACCUCAAGUCAAGAUGGCGUAAUGAAAUACGAAUACUUGUCUUAAGCACACAUUGACUUUCAAGCAUUAGAGCAACUAAUAAUCUUUGCAAGAUAAUAAUAUUAAUAAGCUUUAUGUAGCAGCUUUUUUAAACACUGUUUACAAAGUGCUUUGAUUCAGUUAUUGAUUUAGCCAUGCAUAUUACUGCAUAAUCAGGUGAGACAAGGGAAUGAUUCACACGUCUCGGGGACAGCAGAAUGUUUUGAUGCCUUGUUAUGCACACUGAAUAUCUGAAACCUUGUUGUAGAUUUCAGUUUUUCUUAAAGCACAUGUAACAAUUCGAGCUUGUGUGAUCAUGCCCAGGAGAGAGGAGUGGGUGAGGAGGAGGAGGAGGAGGAGGAGGAGAGGGGAUUCUGUUUUGUUGCACAUACAGUAGACACGCAGUAAAAUCCUCUUUGAUUUGAAGGUUUUGCACAGAUGUUGGCAAGGCCGCUGCAAAGAGGUUGUGAGAGGCUCUUGUAGGAAAAUGUGCCACCCACAUUCUUGCAGAGACUGUAACGCUCCAACUGAUGCAACUCUCACCAAAGAAGCCUUUAUACCACGCCGCGUCUACUUUAACUUGCUGCAUGAGCUGCCUGCUGUUGAAACGUCUACUCGACUCAUAUAUUGUCAAAUUAAUUUAAUCUGAAGCAGCAGAUCCAGUGUCUACCUGUGCACUUUAACCAUUAUUGCCUAAUAUACACAUGUUCUGGCAACGUAUGGUGUCUUUGUUUCUGUCACA
ensembl:lncRNA